AGCACAUGUACACGAGACGCCUGAUUAAGCAGGACUUAAGAAAGUGGUAACAUAGGUCUGAAGGGGUGAAGUCAAGGAGAUGAUGGACUGGAAUAUAAGAGACUCUGAAGGCAGAAAGAGCAGCAAGGAUGCUAUUACGGUGUUCCAGUUCUCCGGGCUGGAAGCAAAGUUGGAUUCUGGAGAGAGCCUUCUUCCAGUGCAGACUGCAGACUGCUGACUUCUGGUUGUUUUCUCACCUGCCAGAGAGCAGAGACAAGAAGCAAGCUCUUUUGUGACUCCUAGAAGGGCACUAAUCCCAUUCAUGAGGGCUCUACCCUCACGACCUCACCUAAUCCUAAUCACCUCCAAAGUCCCCACCUCCUAAUACCAGUGCAUUGAGAGAUAAGAUUUCAAUAUA